rnacentral:ncRNA from 1 species
UUCAGCGCAUCACCAAUGCGCCCGGACGAGGGAGCCGUACCCGGAAGACGACAAGACGGCCUCUA